GCAUAUCAAUAAGCGGAGGAAAAGAAACCAACAGGGAUUGCCCUAGUAACGGCGAGUGAAGCGGCAACAGCUCAAAUUUGAAAUCUGGCUCUCGGGCCCGAGUUGUAAUUUGUAGAGGAUGCUUUUGAUGCGGUGCCUUCCGAGUUCCCUGGAACGGGACGCCAUAGAGGGUGAGAGCCCCGUCUGGUUGGAUGCCAAAUCUCUGUAAAGCUCCUUCAACGAGUCGAGUAGUUUGGGAAUGCUGCUCUAAAUGGGAGGUAUAUGUCUUCUAAAGCUAAAUACCGGCCAGAGACCGAUAGCGCACAAGUAGAGUGAUCGAAAGAUGAAAAGCACUUUGAAAAGAGAGUUAAAAAGUACGUGAAAUUGUUGAAAGGGAAGCGUUUAUGACCAGACUUGGGCUUGGUUAAUCAUCUGGGGUUCUCCCCAGUGCACUUUUCCAGUCCAGGCCAGCAUCAGUUUUCCCCGGGGGAUAAAGGCGGCGGGAAUGUGGCUCUCUUCGGGGAGUGUUAUAGCCCGCCGUGUAAUACCCUGGGGGGGACUGAGGUUCGCGCAUCUGCAAGGAUGCUGGCGUAAUGGUCAUCAUGACCGUCUUGAAACACGGACC
rnacentral:rRNA from 1 species